UACGGAGGUGGCAAGCGUUGCUCGGAAUUACUGGGCGUAAAGGGCUCGUAGGCGGCCAACUAAGUCAGACGUGAAAUCCCUCGGCUUAACCGGGGAACUGCGUCUGAUACUGGAUGGCUUGAGAUUGGGAGAGGGAUGCGGAAUUCCAGGUGUAGCGGUGAAAUGCGUAGAUAUCGGGAGGAACACCGGUGGCGAAGGCGGUUCUCUGGGCCUGACCUGACGCUGAGGAGCGAAAGCGUGGGGAGCGAACAGG
rnacentral:rRNA from 1 species